AUAUAUAUAUAUAUAUAUCUUUAAAUUAUUAAAAAAUCACAUAAAUAUCUUCGGGAUUCAAAUUU
rnacentral:sRNA from 1 species